GGGGGCAUAGUCUCAGCCGGUUAGAGCGCUUGGAUCACAACCAAGAGGUCGCAGGUUCGAAUCCUGCUGUCCCCACCA
rnacentral:tRNA from 1 species